rnacentral:lncRNA from 1 species
UAUUGUGUGUUUUCUGGUCAUGCAGGACAGUCGGAGAACAAACGCCUCCGGAAACCAACAAAGAGACUGCUGGAGUCGACUGAGGAGUACGAACAAAUGUUCUCCUCGAAAAAGAGGUUGAAGAAACACGGCUCUGAAUCCUCUAAAAUGGUGAGAUGCUCUUAUUUCUGCCCAGAACAGAUUUCUUUUAUUAAAGAGCAACAUCAGAGCCAGUAGUUGUCAUGCACGGUGUGAAAUGUAUCCUCCACAUUUGACCCCACCCCCCAGGGGGAGCGGUGGAACCAUUUGUGGAACCAUCGUUAUCGGAACAAUCUGCAAGUGGCUUUUGAUUCAUGCUUUUCUCACCAUUCAACUUCUUUGAAAAAAGUUGAAAAAUGUUUAAAAACCGUUUGGUUCAAAUAUUAAUAUUGUUUCUGGCUAAAAAGGAAAACAAAUCAUUUUUCUUAAUUUUUAAACACAAACUUUUGUCAGUCGACUCACAUCACAUUUGCUUUCUAGAAUACCGGUAGUCAUAUUUACAGAUUCAAUUUGUUGCAGCCAAUUUACCCCCAUUAUCAUUCUUCUGCCACUGUGCUUGACAAUGGAGAUGAAUCCUCUUCUUUUUUUUUUUGGGUUUUUUUCCAAACACAAUUUUUUCUUGUUCAUCCUAACCUUCUUGCUCUUCUUAUUGUCAUUAAUGGGCUUCAAAACGUUGUCAUGCUCAAGAGACCUGGGUGUGAGAUGGAGAUUUUUGGAUGUUUUUCACUUGAUGUUGUCUUUGAUGUUGUCGCUUGAGAAAGUUGGCUUGACAAUUGUGCUAUAAAGCUCUUAAAUCCAUGAUAUUUGGAAAUGUUGUGCAGAUAUUACUCCCAAACAUUUGGCCAAGAUUGAGCCCAAGUCUUAAGAACAGGCAAGCUUGUUGAUACAUUCAAAAGAAUUCAUAAUUCAACUGUGCUUCAUUGCUGCCCAUACAGGAGACUUUAGGGAUGUCGACUCUCCAUGACUUCAGUGCAGCGGAAGGGUUUGAUACCUCGUCCUCGGUGGAUCCAGCUGAUUCUCGGGUGGAGAUGAGGCCGAGUCUGUCUCAGGAUGAACUGUCUCCCGUAGCAACAUCAGCCUCUCCUGUCUCCCCCCAGCCAUCCUUCGACUCGGAGGCAGCAGAGAAGACUGAUCUACCUCUCGGAUCUGAUACGGCACAAAUUCAAGAAAGAAAGAGACCGAGAAAGCUUUCACAUAAGGUGCUCGAAUGUACGAUUGAAGAAGUGUCUGCUGCUCCUGCUAGGAGGAAGGAGCAAAAGGGCCUUGCUGGCAUCACUUCAGACGUGAAGGUGUUGGUUAAGAAAACUCAGGUACUUCAGUAUAAAACAUUCAACUGUUUGUUUAGUUGUUGGGAAGGCUGCUAA